rnacentral:lncRNA from 1 species
GUUGUCGGAGAAUGCAACGAGGCAACCCGAACUCGCCGCCACCGCGCAUCAAGUCGAUGCUUGUUGUGGUGCUGGUGAUGGCUUCCAUGGUGGCCGGAGGCUCAGCGACAGUAGAGCGCGAUGUGGGGUCCGAUACGCAGGUCAAGUGCACUUGCUAUCCCUGCGGUUGCGCACAAAGCCCGCCGCCACCACCACCGCCGAAGUGGCCAGUGCCAUACUGUCCACCUCCACCGCCGGCGCCGUUUCUUUACAUAGUUGGCGCGCCGGGCAAUCUGUACCCGUUCGAUACUGCAAACUUCCCCUCGAGCUCCUGCCGGAGCUUCGCCGGGCUGACGCCGGUCUUUGUGCUCUCCGGGCUGGUUGCGCUGUUGAUGUUGUGGUGGCUAUGACUCGUGUUGUUUCAUGCCAUGCUCCUUCAUCUGUAACGCUCUUCGAGUUAGAUUUCUGCUCUGCAAUCUCAAGAAUUUGAGUCAAGAAAUUAAUUGCUAAAUAAACUACUAUUUCUAAAUGAUUAUUUUUCUUUUUCUUCUGAUCGCUCUCAAUAAUUAAAGUGUUCCACAGUUUGAUCAGUGUUCAUGUCACUUGUUUGAUAAGGAAAUCAUGGAAACUAGGAUAAUUCUAAUGCUGCUUUAAGCCUUAGCAUAUCAUUUUUUUUCAUGUUAAUUUCCUUGGAAUAUUUGAGAUUUAUUUCUCCAGACCAUAUUAAUCAAACCAUUGAUUGCAUGAGAUGAGGACAAUGAUUCAAUUAUGUCAAGUUGGACUUUGAGUCAAUUAAGAAGGGAUGCAUAUGUGUGAUAUUUUAUUCCAUGCUACUUAUAAUAAUUACAAUGAUUGCAAGUGUCUACCUGUUGGUGGGUGCAUAAGGUUGGACCAGCAUCAUCAGUGUCAUCUUCCUGGUCUAAAAUUGAGGCUCCAUUUCAUGUUAAACUUUGACUUUGAAGUCAAAAUAAGAUUUGGAGAUGGUCCAAUUAGAGAUCAAAGAGAUACCAAUGGGUGAUCAAUUUUUAUACUAAAUGUAAUAUUUUUUUGUUUUUUUUAAGGGUCAAAAUUUUUACCAACUAAACCAAUGUUUCAUUUUUUUUUCUUUUUAAGAAUUAUAAUAUCUUAAUCAAUUCACUUUUGGAGAGGCUCUGUUUAUUAACCAAUUGGAGGCUGCCACGUAAUUGUUGACUGGUCAAACAAUAAUUCCAUCAGAAACGAUCGACCGCUUCGCUUCUGUGACUUCUCCGUUCUUUGCCAUGUCGUUCACUCCAUCGCCAACAUUGACGGGUUCAAUUGUCUCGCACCGAGGACGGCCGCACAAAGUCAAGUCAAAGAAGGCCUACUGCUCGAUCGCAGUGGGAAUGUUAUAUACUGUGAGCUCCGCUUAGAGCCUCUCGUGAGCUGAAGGUGAGGACUAAUGGAGAGCAUCAGCACUCAGGUGUUCCACAGCAUCCACUCGUACUGGCGGCGCCGGACUUAUCGGAGACUGGACGCAACCAAGAAGCAGGCGAAAGCGAUACGGCUCGGCGGAGGCGGAGGAGGAGGAAUAAGGACGAGCAGCUGGCGAUGUCGGAAGGCGAAGGUGGUGUGGCGGACGCUUCGGUUGCGGCCGAAGGUGUGGUCGGCGCCGCUACGGCUGCUGGCGUGGGUGCGGAACGCUUACGUGGACGCGAUGCUGGCGCUGGCCGGCGGGAAGGGCCGGCCGUCGGCGCUGAGCAGGGUGAGGAGCGGCUCCGAGGCGCUGUGGGGGAGGAGGAUGCCGAGGGCGAGGCAGGCGAGCGGCAGGUCUGCAGACUUCGAGAGGAGGAUGAUGAUGCAUCUGAUCCAUUCCAUUGUAGAGCCGGAGUUGCCUUGUCGUGAAUGAGUAAUAUGGAUGGAGCAGUUGUACGUAAAUCUCAUGCAUUACUGCUGGAUUUAAUGGUUUCUUUUCUUCAAGAGAAUAUUUUUCUCAAAUAAUAAUGUAAAGAGAUGGCUUUGAGUUGCAUUGUGGCUGAUGUUGAUUUCAUGUGCUCAUGGUGUUUGCUCAUUUAAGUUAAGCCGAACUAAGUUGAUCCUUCUUAAUAUCCAUUGUUAUAAAAUUACGUUCAUUCCUUGCCAAUAGCACCAACUUUCAUGUGCACACCCAUCAAUUAAACUUAGACACUUGAAAUUGUAAGUUGUAAGAGGUAAUUGAGCAAAACUGAUGGGGAAUUAGCUUCCAUACCUUGGAACGGAAAGGAACUGGGUGAAAUAGCAAGCAACAACAGAGUAAAGAACUUGAACUGAGACUCCAAGUAAGAUUAAGGUUACUCGGAUCCACAAGAAACAUUUUAACACUCAUGUUCACUGCCUUCUACGACAGAUCUUAUUGAGACAGAAACUGAAACAGACGAACGAGUAGUAGUAAUGCAAGCAAGCAGACCCUUGAAGGAAGCUCCAUGCCAUGGCUCACCUGGAGGGUCCUCCAGGGGGGCUCAUGUUGGCUGUAGGAGAAGGUGGCGUGAGCAGUGACUCCCUGCCCAGGCUCACAGAUCCUUGUGUGCUCACCUCACCAUCUCCGCCUGCAUACGUGAAUCCAUACAAGUAGGCUUCAGAUUAGAAAACACAGAACAAGAUGGUGAAAUCAACGUCAGACCUGUGUUUGGAUGAUGGUGGACUGGGACUUCUCUGCAGUGGGAUGGAGAGACCAGGAGAGCUGAGAAGAGGAGAGCUGCCACUAAGAUGGAGGUGAUGGCCCUGGGAGUGGAAUGCUCCAUUGAAGGACCUGUUGAUUUCGGAUGGAUGAGCAAACGAAACACAGAGAGAGAGAGAGAAAGAGAGGUGGGUAUAGGCAAUUUGGUUAGUUGACUAUUUGUCUGCAUCUUUCAUGACAUGUGGUACGUCUAGAUCUGAAGGGCGCAUUAACCAAGGUUGACCCAGACCAUGGCUGGCGUUAGUCAAAGGCCUGCACUCCAUUAGAUUCCGACAGACAAGACGAGAAAGAGGCAUGAAAUUGAUGAGAUCAUGAUAUCUCAAUUUUAAGUGCCUCCACAGCAAACAAACAAACAAACAAAUGCCAGUUUAACAGCAAUCUUAAAAGCCUCUACGUAUGCACCUGCUAAGACCACAGGGAACUCGAAAGAUUACCUCCUUAUCCAUCAAAAUGGUUAAAGAAAGACUUGGACACAGCAAAUACUCCAUCAACCAACCUUGAGAAAACAAGAGGACAGCAUGAAUACUAUUUUUAAAGGAAUUCUGCUGGUCUCCUGACAUGCUAAACAGAGGAAAAAGGAAAGCAGAUGAACUAACUUAGAAGCAGCAAGCCCACAAAUCUUUAGUACUGAUCAUUGGCAUUGUGAUCAAUAUUGAAGGUGGUACAACAUACUCACGUUGAGCUCUAAAACAAGAAAAAUAUUCUCCUACAAACAUGUAGCCCGUCCUCUUGUCUUGAUCAUGCUUCCUCUGUUAAUGUAUCACAGGUUUAAGAGGAUGCGCCCUGAGUUUGGACAAGUCGAGAUUUGCAUCCAGUUCUUCAUCUAACUCUCCCACUACACUUCUGCACACACACGAGUUAUAUUUAGGACUGCUGGAUUGGUAGUGUCAGAAACAGCAAAGUUUACAGGGUACAGAGUGGAAGUAAAACAAGGCCUGUCUAAACUCAGGAGCCAUACAUGUUAUCGCCUCUUAUAAUAUAGAGCCCUAAGACAAGUUGCUGCACACCUUCCUGCAAAAUAGGCCAAAAGAAAUGUCACAGAUUGUGGAUCUCAAAAUGUCUAAUCCUGGUUAUCAGAUCUCACGUUCUUGCUCCUUCCAAGGAUUUUAAUGUGAAAUGAAAAAUAAAAUCAAGUAAAAAAACAGACAAUGAAAUACACUGCAAUUGAAAUAAUAUUCCGGUUGGAAAUGGUAAAAAGAUGAACGAACCUUGGUAGAGUAAACCCUCUCAUGAGAUUCAUCAAGAAUAAUAUUUGUAGCCUGGUCAAAGCCUCUCAAAACUCCCUACACAAGAAACCCAGGGUCAACAAAUCACUAAUGGGGGAUGAGUAUUAUACUAAGCCACAAAAAAGAGUUAGUUCCUGUGUAAAAGGAAAAGAAAAAAAUGUCAACAAAUCACUAAUGGGGUAUGAGUAUUAUACUAAGCCACAAAAAAGAGUUAGUUCGUGUAUAAAAGGAGAAUUGAAAAAUGCCACCAAAUCAUAAAUUAGCUUAACUCUAAACAAGUAACAAGGAGAAAUGUUCCAUGAGAAACUCAGGAACACUAAAAGCUGCUACAAUGACUGAUAUUGUUUACAAUUAUAGCAACUCACCACAAUGUUGCGCCCAUCAUUUGUAAUGACUGAUAUUGUUUCUGCAUCAGAAAAAAACAUUAGCUUUUGCUUCAUCAGUUCAACUCAUUAUUUAAAAGUCAAAGAUCCAUAAAAUCAUGUGCAGCAGUAUCACUACAUAUGAAAGUAGAAUUAGUGGAACUGAACAUCAUUACUCUAAAGUAACUAAACUUUGAAAGAUGAAGAUUGAUCACAGAGCACAUACGAUCUACCAAUGACUCGAGUCCAGGGCCUGUUGACAUGUCUAACUGCAACUAUCUCAAUGGGGGUUUUUGCUCUUCCAGGAAGCACUGCAAGAAAGCUGAAUGAUCAUUAUGCAGGUUAAACAUAGUUCUGCAGACACCAUGACAUCUAAUAUCACCAGUAAUUCUACAUAGACUGGUAGGGACUGUAACAAAAUCGAAAUAUAAUAAAGAUGAACCUGUAAUUAGAUAUAAUUUCAUCCAAGAUAGUCAACUUGGAGAAAUUUCACAUAACAUCAAAAGUAUGGCAAUAUCAAAUACCAGAUUACCUAAACAUAUCAUACUUCAGAAAUAUCACUUUGCAGAGUUUGUAGCUUAGAGUGUGUGGUUACUCAAAAGAAAUGGUGAACUUGUGAAUUUCUGUUCGGUAUAUGCUAGUUUCACAGUUAGGUACAGCUGACAUAAAGUCUGUUACGAGCAGAAUUGGCAUGGCCCCACAGCAAGGUGGGAUUAGUUACGACUGAGCAUAUUGGAUUCAUGUGAACUAUCAUGAACUUCUAUUAUCCACCAAAAGAUACAGGCACAGGUAACAGACAGAUGGAAGUCAACAAAGAUCAGUUUCUUGAAGGCAAUUGAGCAUUUUGUUACAUGCAACAGUCCCCGAUCAAAAGUUUUAGGGCUCACUGAUCUAUAUAAACAUAUUCAUGAGUUUAGGAGAAGAAUGAGAGAUGAUAAAGUCAACAUAAAGAUUGUCGAAAAGGUGGCAAAGAGGAAUCCUAAUAUUUAUGUGUCUUUGAAAAGUAAGAUGCUCCCUUGCUGCUGAAAAAGUUAAUUAUUUCCUUUAUAUGCCAUGUUGGGGUGUGUGAUUAAGAAUUUUAAUAGAAAAUAUUCUUAAGACAGUAGAUGCACUUCUUUUAAAUUCAAACACAUUCUUAUUUGGCUGUCUAUGUAAACAAAGUGACAUAUCUUACAGGAUUCGAAUGUCACAACUAGUUUCUAAGAUUUUCAAACACAAAUCUUAUAGCUCUAUUUAGCAAGAUGGAUGACAGAAGUAUUAUGUCUGUUAGAAACCUAAAGAGAAGAUAUAAGAACAUGCAGCACAUUGAACAAAGUGUAUGUUACAAUCCUCGUGGGUUUGUGUCAAGAAUCCCUUCAGCAGUUGCUUGCAGGAUGUAGGUUUGCCAGUAUACUAUGCUCAAAUCCCAGCUUUCAAUGACCUUGAUUUCUUGUACAAUAGGAUUAGUGAACAAUGCAUCCUAGAGAGGGUGGCUUAAGUACAAAUGAUAGAAUUUUAUACACGCCUUAAUUAAUUUUAUACCUUCUGAAACCUUUAGAGAUGAAGUAGCCAAUCAGUUAAGAUUUGGAAUUUUCUAAAGGACAUAGUUUUGCCAGAGAGAGAUGCAAUUCUGAAACCAUAUGGGGAUGGUUGGAACUUGGAAUCACCUCCACUGAACUGACCAGAUUCUAACUUCAAUUGGUGUUUCUCCAAAACACAAUGGUGGGGCAGGUACAUACAAUGCUUAUGGUGACACGAUGCUUACGGCGACAUGUUUCAUGAAAGCACCAAAUGCAGGCAUAAAGCAUGAGCUAUCCUAAAGCUCUCAUGUGAUGGAAAGUCUAAUUGCCAGCCAAUAGCUAAUAUGCAGAACAGAACGCCCUCCGUGCCAAUUUCAUUUGCAAGGAAGACAUCAGUCCUUGAGUGAUCCAUGGUGUCGUAGGUGACGUAGCCUUUCUCACAAAACCUUUCGUAUUAUCAAAGAGAGCAUGUUUUGCACAAUGUAUGACACAUGAAUUUUGGUACAGCUUCCAGUGCUUUUGAGUGGAAGGUUGUGGGAAGGGAUACAAGUAGUACGACUAAGGAAUUAUCAGUGACACAAGGUGCUAAAAGACACCCAAGGUGUUCGGCGUGCUAGACACCCGUCAAUAUACAAAAUAUAAAAAUAUAAUUAAGGAAAAUAUAAUCAUUGAGAAUAAAAAUUAGACGAUGCAUAAGUUCCACAACAUUUCAUUUCAAAGUAUCACCACUAAAACAUCGAAUCAAAAGUCCAAGAAUUUUGACAAGCAUUCUAGCGAUGACAAUUCCAUAAUUAACAUAAUUCAUAGAGUAUUAACUAGAAUUAACUAUUAUUAACAUGAACUAGGCAUGACUAUUAUUAACAACUAUUAAAUUCAGGAUGAGGCAGGGAAGGGUGCUGAGAACAGUAGGAGGUCGGUUGAGGGUAGGGGAAGGCAGAGAAGAAGGGCUGACUGCAGCCGGGGUCGAGGGCCUAACAGCGGGAGAACAAGAGAGCGGAGAACGAAGGGCGACCAGAGAGGGGCUGGCGGCUGGAUGGCACAUGGAAGCUUGUCCCGGGGCGGGGCGCCCCCCGGGGGGGGGGGAGGGGGGGGAGAGAGAGAGAGAGAGAGAGAGAGAGAGAGAGGCGACCGCUCUACUGGGAAGAAGCAGAGAGCAGGGAGGAUGGGAUGGGGCUGUACCGCCGGCGGCCAGGCGAAGCGGGAAGGGGGGAGGUGUCGAUGUCGUCCGCGAGAUGGGAGGCGCAGCCGCGUUGGGGCAAGCCUUGCGCACGGACGCCGGUCGCCGAUCGUCGGCCGCUUUGCAGCGCAACAGGGAAAGAAGGGGUGGACGAUUAGGUUUUCUGCGAAGAUGCCACCGCGCGCGGGGGUUGUCAAGGGUUUACGGUUUUUUUAUUUGAUUUGAUCAAACCAAGGCGGCUCGAGCCAGGAGCCAAUCAAAGACUCGACCCAGAUCUGAUCAAAUGCGCCUGGGCCGAAUCUCAAAUUUCCCAAUACAACCGGACCGGACCGGACUAUCGAACCCUCAAUCGAUUCGAUCCCCCAUACUUGGACCGUUCCAGUCGAUCGAAAUACCUUCGAUUUUUCUUAUGACUUUGUAUAUUUGAGAUGGAUAACUAUUAAGGACAUGAAAUGAUGAAAUCCUAAGACAUAAAAGCAUUUAUUCAAGAAUUAUUUUGAGGUCCCAGUUUUCUGUCAGCAUAGCAUAAUUCUUCCGUGACCAUCUCCUAAUAGUGGGCUAGUGGGCAUGUGGGCAACAGCGAGCUACUUGCAGAGCAUCAUGCCAAGAUUCGUGCUGGUGACAAUGAUGAAGAAUCUUGAUCCAUGAGAACCCCAACCCAAAAAUGGGCAUUAGGAUCACCCAACGAGAAGCAGCAUGAUGCUAUGUUGCCAUUUGUGGCGGAUCCAUACGCGCAGAGACGACGGUGAUACUGGAGAGCGAACGCAACCACUUGAUGGCCGGAGAUAGAGGGGGAUAAGGUACUGUUCCACUUCUUCCUUCAUCUGCUCUCCGGGAAUUCCGGCUAAGUUGCAUGAAUCCAGCAACUAAUUAUUUUCUUAGAUCAGGAUCCAAUGACUGCUGUAAAUUUCUCUCGGGCCUCCUAUAAAUAGGAGGGUACGAAGGGUUUCAUGGGUCCUUGUAGGUCUUUUGAGUUCCUCUCUCUUGUUCCUGGUGAGAAGCAGAGGAGGCACGUCGGUGAUGCUGUUGACAGAAGAUAGAGAGCACAGAUGAUGGCUUGCAACUCUUUUUGCAUUCCACUCCUUUGUGCUCUCUAUGCUUCUGUCAUCACCUUCGGCCCCUUGCACACAGCCACCGUCAGGAUCUUUGUAGUUGAUGCCCCGUUCGAGUUGCUUCUCGAAAGCUUCUUACGACCCUUGGAUGUUCAUGAAGAAGAAGAAGACAGUGCAGCUUCCGAUGGAAGAUUUAUGGUGAUGGAAUCAAACAGCACUAUAGACAUGCGUGAAGAACCACCGUUCGUUACACUUCCUCUUUGACAUCUUCUUCGACAGUGAAGGAGGAGACAUGAAACGCCCGAGGAAGCUCCGUGGUGGUGUCCAAGAAGAAGAGCAGGCAGCACAUCACCACACUGCUCGCCAGCAUCGGUAUCGGCCCAAAAACCCAGAGGAAGAGGGUGAAGGACACGUAGAACGCCCUCAGGCCGAGAGACCAGAAGAGGCUGCCUCGGUCCAAGCUCCUCGCGGCGUGCUCCGGCGUGACGGGCCCUGCCACCGGCUGGCUCAUGAGGAAGCCGGCGUGCGUGUGGUACCGGACGGACUGCACGUUGCAGAGGAAGGCGAGGAUGAAGCAUAGCAAGAGGGCGAAGUACUUGAUGGAGCGCACCACGGAGGACUUGUUGCCGUAGACGAGGGAAGAGGUGGCGGUGCUGGUGGUGGCGCUGACGAAGACGCUGAUGAGGGAGGCGAGGGUGACGGCGGUGGUGGCCAGCGCGGUGGACGCCAUGAUGUCGUUCCUCAGCGUUUGCACCGCCAGAGUGCCGUUCCCGAGCGGGUCCUGUUCAGCGUACACAUUAAUAUAUAUAUAUAUAUAUAUAUAUAUAUAUAUAUAUAUAUAUAUAUAUAUAUAUAUAUAAAAUUGUAUAUAUAAUUAAAAAUAAUUGGCGAUAUUAUAAUUAAUUUGACUAAAAAAUUAAAUUAUUAUUUAAUCGGACCAAACAAUCAUAAAUGUGAACUUCCAAUUUAAUUUUUUUAUCUGCAUUUUUUCGUAUAUUUUGGUCAUUAUACUAACACUCUUGAGUCAUACAGGAAGGAACUAAAACAUUCUUAAAGAAGACGAGGAGAUGCAGACUUACAGUCAUCAUGGCUCUGAGCCACCGGUGCUUGACCUGGGCGUUCACGCCGAUGACAGUGCGAUUGGGAUGUCGGACUAUGGUGAAGAAGAGCCAUAUGUGGUAGGUGGCCUGCAGCAGGAGACCCAGCGGAACCAUCACCAUGUCCAAAUAUUUCUCCUCCAUCUCUCCGCACCUCCUCCUUCUUCUUCUCUGUGCUGUUGCAGGCUAUUAAAAGUGUUCGGAGCAAGGUUGAGGAAGAAAUAAGCAACGCAUGGAGAGGCUGAAAAGGCAUUUAGAAGAGUUAUUGGUUAACAGAGACGGGACCGAACGCUUCCCUUGUACCCAAGUUUCAUUGGUAAAGCGUGUGGGAGUUGUUCUUUGAACCUGUCCUCUUUCCGGAUGAUCCCAAUACCUCUAUUACGCGAGAUUAAGAUAAACAACUGUUCCAGAAAUUGUUGGCCUCCGAGGAUCGUCCAGAGAAGCCACGAAUCGAAUCGAUCCAUGCUUGUAGGUUUCCUCGCAUGCCCAAAUCAAUUUAGACUAAGAAAUGAAAAGAGGAGAAAUAUUCUUUAAAUCAACUCUAACUGAGAAAAGAGGAGAAAUAUUUUUCUAUAUGCAUGCAUAUAAUAUAAGUACAUAUGGAAUCUAAUGAAGAAUGUCAUGCAGCAUUACUAAUCAGAAAUCCAUGUUUGAUUAAAGGAUGAAAAAGGAAUUGAUUAAAGGAAUAUAUAUAUCACCUGCAAACAAAUAAUCUUAGCAUGAUAUUUUUUAUUCAUUAGUGACAAAACAGAACAACCUUGUAAAGAUUCAAGCAUUGCUGAGAAAAAGAAGCCAUCAACAUUUUGUCAAAGGAUCCAUAUUGUCCCAAUACAAACAAUCACAGUACAUUAAGAUUGACUUGUGGGAGUUCAAACAGAUAGGAUAGAAAACCAUAAGUGUGAACAGACGAUGGUUUUGCAAGUUUUGUAGACAUUAGCUUGAGAAGAAUGUGAUGAUCAAGCAAUGGGAAAGAAAACAUAUCAAGUUGGGAGGCAAAACCAUGAUUGCACAUAUAUCUUUGCGAUUUCGUAUGGAAAAAUUGCACCAUGCAUCAAAUUUGUAGAGCAUGGGGAUCUGACUAGUACCAUGACUAUACUCAAUUAAGAAGCAUUUUUGGAUAUUGCAUGCAUCAAUGAUCAUUGAACUUUGAAGUGUGUUUUCUUGCACUUAUAUCUUCUUGCACAGAUACCGAGCUCUUGUAGACACAUAAUUAAAUAUCUGCCAUCUUCCAUGAACAGCAAUUGCUGACAAAGAACUCAUUGUACAGCCAGCAGAUUUGUAGUAACAAUGGUAUGAUUAAUUAACAGAUAAACAUAUUAACCGGGCAUGCAAUCUGUCAUACCACCGCAUAAAAUAAGGGCUAGCUGUACAAGCAAAUUGAGAUAACAAUCAAGUCGAAGAAAGCAGUAAUUAUUUAUGGUGUAGGAAGUGCAAGUAUUAUCUAAAUUGUAUCGUACCAGAACCUUCAUUGAUUUUGCUAUUGCCUAGUUCAUCCAUAACUUUAAUAGCCUAUCCUUGCCACCAGAUGCUACUUUUUCACCAUCUGGACUCCAAUCCACACAGAAAACCUAGGAAAAAGAAGAAGAAAGGACUUUAUGUGACAUUAAAUAGUGAAGUUUGAUGUGCAUAAACUCAUCAAGAUUCUUGGAAAGAGUAGUACCUCAUCUACAUGACCUGGAAGAUCUUGUUUAAGCUAAUGCAAUUACUCCGGCAAGAGUCUCGUCCACUACGUUCACCCAUUUACUCCAUAAGCUAAUGCAUCCAUCAUACUUUAAGGUUAAUUUUGUAGUAUCUGCUGUAUCAAAUGCUACGUCAUGAGUUAUUUUGUCAUGCAAUGCUAGUUGUCAAAGUUGAAUUCUUUAUUGCCAACGCAGGAUCUGAGGCGGAGGGUUCAUAUAUAUAUAUAUAUAUAUAUAUAUAUAUAACNNNNNNNNNNNNNNNNNNNNCUAAUUCUUUUAUUCUAUUUAGGGGUUCAUAUAUAUAUAUAUAUAUAUAUAUAUAUAUAUAUAUAUAUAUAUAUAUGUAUAUAUGUAUAUGUAUAUGUAUAUAUACAUGUAUAUAUAUAUACAUGUAUAUAUGUAUGUAUAUAUGUAUAUAUAUGUGUAUAUAUAUUUAUAUUAUUUCUUUAAAAAAGUAAUAAAACACUGACAAAAUAAAGGAGAAGCUACCAGAUUAUAAGUUAUCAACUUGUAUGAAAUAUCUGUAAAUUUGUUAUUUGUAUUGGGUACAUAGAAAUUAAAGAAAAAACAAGCACUGAACUUUCAAUAGAACAUUAUACAAAUGAAAUGCAUACCUUGUGUAUAUCAUGGCAUCACCACCCCACUUUACACAGGUAACAGCCAGAGUGUGACCAAAGAGACAAACAACACACUUGCUCAAAGAAAUAUCCCAAAUACGUGCAUCCCCAUCCUUGCUGGAACUAACUAAACGGCGACAAGGAGCUUGCAAAUGUACAGGCUCCCAGGAAAUACCAGUAAUCGAUUUCUUGUGGCCCUGCUAUUUUAUAAUGCACCCAAAAUAUAUAUUGUCACAAGGCACAUGAUGAUGAAUGCACAUUAGAAUGUCAAGUUAACUGCCCAAAGUUGAUAUUAUAAAACAUUAACAAGUAAAAAUAGGAUUUUAACAAAAACAGAAUAUUUUAAAGGAUAGUAAGCUGAGACAAACAACAAAAUGGAGAAAAUUGGUUUUGAGCCUAUACCAGUGGAAUAUUUGGAUAUGACCUUCUAAGAGAUCAUACAUGAGGCUUCUUGAGCAUCGGUCAAUGCAUAUGACUUUCCAAAAGACUGCAGUUGAGUUGUAUACUAACCAAAGUUCGUCUUAUGGGUCUGUACCAAUAUACCGACUGGCCGAUGGUACAACAUGUACCAUUCGGCACCGAUGUAUCAUGUGUCAAUACGGUGAGGCAUACUGAUAUGUAAAAUGCAUAAGGCAUAUUUUCCUCCUAAUAAACGAAAAAAGGAAACAAGUGAAUUUCUUUACCAGAGGAUCCAUGACUAAUCAAAAUUUUUCAAAGACAACUACAAAACAAAGAAAAAGAAAGUAAAUCAAGACUAUCAAGUAAUAUAAUCAAAAGCAAAAAAAGACAGGAUAUCUUUGAGAUUACAUUCUUCAGCAGUUUGUUGACUAUUUCCUGGAGCUGUGGUGGUCCAGCAUUCUGUGGGAGAUAGAGAGGGCACCAAGGGGCUCCCCUUCAGGGUCAGUCAAAAGGCACAUCCCGCUAUUACUACUGCUUAUUUCUCUCACUUCGUCUGAAACCUCCAUCUCUACCUGGAAAACUCCCAGUAUAACAGAACCCUAACCUGAAAGAAGAAAGAAGACAAUAUAUCCUAAAUUACAAUACAAUGAAGUCCAACAAGAUUCUCUCUUGUCCAAGAUGAACAAAUGAAAAAUAAGCAGACUUUUCUUGUAAGUGUUCGUCUGAUAAAUUUAUGAUGGGGUGGCAUUAUCCAAUUAAUAGAAAAACAACAUUACAAGUGGAUACAAACAAUACCAAAUCAAAAUAAACAUAAAGUCGAAAUCAAACAAAUCAUUACAAAGAAAAUUAAGAAAUCACUCAAGGAUACUGGACAUCCAAAAGCUAAGACAUAACUCUAUUCACUUUGUUUUGGUAGUCAUGGCACAAGAGCUAUAUUUAUAGGAUUGAGAUGUACGUACAUCUAAACUAGAAACAGUUAAUAGACUAAGAAAGAAAAGAAAAUAAAGGAGAAAACUAGAGGCAGUUAAUAAUUAAGAAAUUAUAAUUAUUGUACUAAAUUGAAAAACAAAACCAAUUAACAUUUCUUAUCGCCGAUCGCCAUCUCAUCUUAAGCAUGUAGCAGGUGUCAGCACGGCUAUUUGACAUGUGCCCUUUCCUUUUGGAUAUCGUAGCAGCAGACUGUAAUCAAGGCAGAGGUUUCUCUCUCGCUUGUCCACUCUGAUACAAACCUUAUGCAAGGGUUCAAAAUCUACAACAUACCUCAAACGACGAAGGGCAAUUAAAAUCAUAAUCAGAGGAGAAUAAAAAUAUGACAAAAUUCUUAAAUGAGAAUAAGAGAAUAAACUAAAGACGAUCAUAUUUCACAACUCGAAUAAUCUCUAUAAAAGCAAGCAAAAAAACCAAAAGAAAGUGAUGAAGCAAGAACCUUUAUGAUUGGAAGAGAUUGAGAAGAGUGUUUGCCUAGUAGCAAAGCCCCUUUCCUCGUGUAGAAGGUAGAGGAGGUGGUGGUGGUGGUGGCACGCGUCGACGGAGCGAGGGAGGUGAUGGUGGAGGCAUGGGUGGUGACGGAAGACAUCCGAGGGGUUUAGGGGUUCGAUGAGCACCUUCGGCCGGUGGAUCCGCGCUGCAAUUGCACCUCUUAACGGGUCCGCUUGGUGGAGCUCCGGUAGGAAAAAGAUACCAGAUGAGUGCAAUUUCUGACCCGAAUCCGAACUGUGAACUCAGUCUUGCGGUUUGGUUGAUCAAUCCGACCCGAUCCGUCUUCCCCCUGAUUAACAAUAAUAAUGAUAUCGUUGCUAUCAUUAACAAUAAUAAUAAUAAUAAAAUGAGAAGAAAAGAGUUGAAAGAGUUUGUUGGAAUUAAGUUAGGAUAUUUAUAUAAUUAAGAAUAUUAAAAAAAAAAAAUAAUAUAGGAAACAUAUUUACCAAUAAAAAUCUCUCAUAUAUAUCAACAGACAAAAAAAGAGAGUAACAGAGGAAUUAACUAGUCAUGAUAUUUUUAUCAUCUUAAGAAGUCAAUAUUAAAUAAUAAAAUUACAAAAUGGAAAAAAUGAUGGCUCUUAAUUGCAUUGUGCAGUAAAAAAACAAUGGAAUCGCCUGGUUACUGAAGCGUGCAGCGCACGUGUUUCCUUCGUGAGUUGUCACGAAAAAAAUAUCGGACACAGAAAAUAAUAAUAAUAAUAAUAAUAAUAAUAAUAAUAAAACCACAAAAAUAAGAGGAGCACAGAGAAAGCCGGCAUAAGACCCCCUAAUUUCCCAAAACGAAGCGAAAACGAAAACGAACUUGCGGAGAGAGAAGCGAGAGAGAUGGGUAGCACGAUUCUUUCGCUUGCAUCCCAUCUGCAACCCUCUUGCUGCUGUAGGCGACGCCGCCUCCGCCCACCAAACCACUGGGGCGAUGUCGCGCGGAUCAGCGCCGCGCCGUCCUUCUUCUGUAGCUCCAUCACCUCUCCGAAGCCUUCCAGCAGGCAUCGCCUCAUCUGCUCCGCCCUCCUCCAAGACGAUGCCCCGCAAGGGGGGCAGCAGCAGCAACAGCAACAGCAACAGCAGCAGCAGGAUCCGCCCACGCAGCUCCCCGCUGGCGUCGGCGCCGCGGUCGAAGAAAGGCCCGGUACCCUCUCGAGCAUUUUCUACUUUUUUGUUGCCUUUUUAUUCUUGUUAUGAUAUUUCGACAAUUUCUUUCGUUUUCUUCAUUCUGUUGGUUCCAAGAUGAGGUUUUUUUCUCGGAAUUGCUUCCAAGUUUGCAUCUUUUCGUGUUUUCGAAGAACAGUUGCUGCACUUCCAAGCAGCCAUUCCAUGAAUGGUUCUAUUUUGAUAAGUAAUGAUCUCGUACAUUAUCGGUCCUCUUAAACGUUUGGGGAUUUGGAAUGAUCUAAUAAGUUUCAGCCAGCGGACUUUUGUAAGUCGGUCGUUGGACUACAAAAGUUAAAAAAAAAAAAAAUGUCAUCUAGUAGUUAGUAGAAUCCUAGGUUGGAACACCUAAAGCGAGUCAAGAAAAUAAUGCACCGAAGCACUUAACAACUGAAAUGCCCAAAAAGGAUGUGACGGAUGAGUGCCCGAGGCAUUUGUCGAGCUGAGCUGGUUGUACACCGAAAUUUCUGUCUGCUAAUAAUUUGAACCUAUUUCUGCUAAUGAGUAGAAUUUUUCCUUUUAGUUUAUUCUCUCUUCAAUUCCUAGUAUUAUGAUAGAACAAAGAAGUUAACAAACGGUUUUUUGAGCGAUCACAUCCCAUGUUCGUCCAUUGUAUCAUUUCAUGCGGUUGAGAACUUUUUUGUCGUUGGAGGGGACAUCACAGGGUAUGCCAUCAGGUUUAUUGAAGGAUAGACAUAUAUGCCUCCAAGCAGGAUGAGAUAUCUCUAGUGUAAAUAAGGAUUUGAUGGUUUGAUCCUUUUUGGAAUCAAGAUAUGCAGCAUUGCAUGAUUCACAAGUCAAACAAAAUGGAGCUAGCCGAGGUUACUUCAUUUUGUUGGAAUAUUUUUUCUCACUCUUGGAACAUUUUGAAUUAGGCUUUAAUUGGAACUCCUUAAGAAAUUAAAUUAGAAGGUAUAGCAUGCCAUCCCAUGAUGACUGAGAUGUUCUUUUUGUAAGAAACAUGGCUUCCUUUGUCAUAUCAUAAAGUGCCAUAUGUCCAUUGUUUGUUAACACAUGUUUUUGGCUUACCUAGCCCUAAGUGUAGGUCCAUGUUGUUGCAUUGGCUUGAGCCAGCAUGGAUUGACAUACUUAGUAUGGUGCUCUUUGCCAUUCACACUGUCUGGUAUGUUAAUCACGGUCAGAUGGAGUCCUUUCAACCCAUGGUUUUUCUACCAUUACAGCUAGCAGGAUUAGAGCUUCAAUGAUGAAAAAGAAAAGAGGCUUGUGCAUUUAGAGAAGUCUAAGCUGAGCAGGUGUUGAUUCAUUUGAUGGUGAUAUUGAAGGUGCACUCACUAUGGGAAGCCUAUUAUUUUGAAAAUGAUAUUGACAACUAUCAUCUUUUGCUGACUUCUGAUUAGGUGACAUAAUACAUAGCAACAACAGAUCCAAUCCAGUGGCCUUUGAUUGAUGAGGUUAAUAUGUACCAAACCAAUUUUCAAGAGUGAACAAACAAACUCUUCUUUUUGACCAGCUUUUGUCCUUUCAUCAUGAUCAUAUCUCAAGCCGAUAUGUGUAGCUAUUCCUUGUGAGUUUGGUUAGUUAAAUUUGAAAUACAGAAAUCACAUAGUGAAUAGUAGUGCCUCUUGGAUUUAAAUUGUUUUUCUCUGGCAAAUGGUCGAAGACUUAAAUGAUUCAGAAUGGACACCAUUGUAAAUUCUAACUGUUGAAUGCUGGCUUGCAAUUGCAAACAAAACUGGAUUUAAUUUUGACCCAGUGGUCACAUAAUGUGCCUCAGAGUUGAUUUUUCUACUUACAUCAAUCAUUACCUUCUUCCAAUCUAUGUUACAAUGCUUAUUGGAUUACCGAGCAGGUGUGCUGUUGUAUAUCUACAUCUCUUUUAGGUGCUUUCCCUAUUGUACAAAUUGAUUGCAACACUUGCCAAAGGUUGCAUUUCUGGAGAUCCUCCACUACUCAGCUGACGGAGGAAUUGCUGAAUAUAGUAUUAGUAAGCUUGACGUUUUGGCCAAUCAAAGCCAGCCUUCGCCAUGCUUGUCCCUUACUUGAGAACUUGAGAUGAUACAAACUCAUCCAUUUGGAAUUGAAAUAAGCUUGGUGCCGUUCUUGCGUUCAUAAAUAUUUAUCACUGCAAACUUGAAAGAGAGGGCAAAUUCUCAAUUAAGGAGAUCUAGGCAUGACUUCAGCUUUGAAGGAUAUCAGUUUGCAUUGACUGGUCAUGCUGUGGUUAGAAGUUCUAGGAUAUGUGCUAUGAUUCACCAUUCAUUGCUAUGUCAAAUAUGAUCAAUCUUACAUAUGAUCAGAAAUUGAGACAGGCCUGUAGAUCUAGUACAUUAUAGAAGAUAUCAUUAGAUGUUUGGAGACAUUAGGGCUGUAUACUGUUAGAACCCUUGCAGAUUCUAAACUUUGGGUUGAUCUCUUUAGGGGAUCGGCCUCCUUGGAACUCUAUAGGGGUUCCUCCCUCCAAGUUGCUGUUCAAAGGCUGCAGAAAAGAUUCAUCUAUUGCUUAUGAAAAGAGGAGGAAUACAUGACUAUUUAUAGGGCUUCUAAACCCUAACUCCUAAUAGGACUCCUACUAAAGACUCCUACUUCUAACCAACUCCUGAUAGGACUCCUACUUAAGACUCCUAUUCCUUUACAACUCCUAAUUCUUAAGACUCCUAUUCCUUUACAACUCCUAAUUCUUCUUUAAGAAACAACCUCCUAACCAUGGCCGGCCUCUUUACCUCUUAAAUAGGGGUCGACUUAGGUAGGUUUUACAUGAAUGUCCCUCUCAAUUAGGACUCUCCUAGCUAGAGUCCUAACAGACCCGCCCUCUUCAAAUCAGCCUUGUCCUCGAGGCUGACGAUUCAUGAAUUCUGGGAAUUUGAUCUUCAAGUCAUCAUAGUUCUCCCAAGUGGCAUCUUCUGAUAAUAGGUUCGCCCACUGUAUUAGCACUUCAGUAGUGGGUCGUCAUCGUUGAGUCACAAUCCGUCGAUCAAUAAUAGCACUUAGUUGGGUCUGGAGUUCUCCUUGCAUAGUCAUAUUUGGUGGGUGGCUUUGGGCUAUCUCCAAGCACCUAUUUACAACUUUUGUCUAGCCAUCGGUUUGUGGGUGAUAUGCCGUACUCCUUUUCAAUUUAAUACCCUGUAUAUGGAAUAACUUUGUCCAAAAUCUGCUUGUGAAGAUGUAAGUAGAAUUUGUCACAAGCAUAAUGCAUCCCUUAUAGUGUAAUUCUUUUGAGUCCCAAUUGUAAUGAGCCACGGAGCUUGGUGCUUCCUCCAAUCUUUUUAUAAUCUUAUUAGUCUCUGAAUCUUCCUACUAUUCUAUCUUAAUAUCCUCAAGGAAGUCGCUGGUCGGAAGUGAAACGGUCGAAACUUCAGCUUGCUCGGGUAGCUGCGAAAUCGCAUCUGCAAGAACAUUCUCUUUCCUCUUUUUGUAAGUUAUUUCAUAAUCAAAUCUAAGAAGUUUUGUUACCCAUUUUUACUGCUCAGGGGAUAUCUUUCGCUCCAAAAAGUACUUAAGGCUUUUUUGGUCGGUUUUAAUUUGAAAUCGUCGACCAAUCAAGUAGGGUCUCCACCGCGUUGCUGCGCGCACAAUGGCGAGCAUCUCUUUAUCAUAUGUUGACUUAUUUUGAUAGGAGGGAGAUAAUGCCUUGCUAGUGUAUGCGAGUGGUCGACCAUCUUGUAUGAGAAUGGCUCCAAUUCUGACUCCAGAUGUGUCGGCCUCAAUAAUGAAGGGUCGGUUGAAAUCUGGUAGUGUUAGCACCGGCGUCGUUGUCAUGGCUGCCUUAAGUUUGUCGAAGGCAGCGGAGGCUCUGUCUAACCAUUGGAAGACAUAUUUUUCCAGUAAGGAAGUAAGUGGUGCGCUGAUCUUUCCAUAGUUUUUCAUGAACUUGCGGUAGUAGCCUGUUAAACCCAGAAAGCCAUGUAGCAAUUUUAUGUUUCUCGAGGUCGGCCAGUUUUGCAUUGCUCCAAUUUUGAAGGGGUCCACUGCCACACCUUCCUCUGAUAUGAUAUGCCCAAGAUAUUCCACAUUCUGUUGAAGAAAACAAAAAUUCGUGGUUGUUGUGUGUUCAAAAGGUGGUUUUCCGUAUGUCUUCUUCGCACGCUCGUAUUUAAUGAUACCCGGAUCAAAGGUCCAGCUUUGUGAAGAUUUGUGCUCCCUUUCAUCUAGCAAUUCAUCUACUAUUGGAAUAAGGUAUUUGUCCUUGAUGGUUAUGCCAUUGAGAGCUCGGUAAUCAACACAUAUUCGCCUUGUUCCGUCCUUCUUGCGUAUAAGUAGCACCGGCGAAGAGUAGAGGUUGCAACUUGGCCGAAUAACUCCUGUUUCGAGCAUCUCUUUUACAAUCCUUUCUAUUUUAUCCUUCUGGAGAUGUGGAUACUGAUAUGGUUGAGCAUUUGCUGAAGAUUUGCCUGGAAGAAUCGUUAUACAAUGAUCAUGCCGACGGGUAAGAGGUAGGUUGCGCGGUUCGUCAAAUAUAUUUAAAAAUUCAACAAGCAAAGGAAGUAGAUUUGGAUCUUCAAAUUCUGUUGGCUCUCCCUUAGUUUGCUGCUCAAGUUGUACCAAAAAGUUGCUGCAUACUUUAUGCAAAACCUUCUCCAUUUGUUGUGUGCAAAUCGUUGUUAUGUUGCCCCCACGUUUCCCGUGCAAUGNNNNNNNNNNNNNNNNNNNNACAAGCAAAGGAAGUAGAUUUGGAUCUUCAAAUUCUGUUGGCUCUCCCUUAGUUUGCUGCUCAAGUUGUACCAAAAAGUUGCUGCAUACUUUAUGCAAAACCUUCUCCAUUUGUUGUGUGCAAAUCAUUGUUAUGUUGCCCCCACGUUUCCCGUGCAAUGUCACCUGUUUCUCCUUACUGUAAAAUUUCAUAAUUAGUUUCAUAAAAUUCCAGGAAAUAUCACCUAAUGUCAUCAACCAUUUAAUUCUGAGCAUGGCCUCAUGAUUGUUAAGAGGGAGAAGGAAGAAAUAUGCAAUUAUCUCUUGGUCCUGCAGCAAUAGUUUCUCCUGUGGGCGCCUACGAUCACAAUUCAAAAUCCGUCCGUCGGUGACCUUAACAUCAAACCUGCAGCGAUUCUCGAUAGGUAAUGAUAUCCGAACAGCAAGCUUACUAUUUAGGAAGUUAGUAGUACUGCCAUUGUCGAUGAGAACAGUGAUCGGUUGUUGUUUGAGAAGGCCUCCAACUUUCAUUGUUUGUGGGUUUGAGUAGCCGGCUAAUGCGUGUACUGUAACGUCAGUCGGUUGUGGCUCUUCUUCCGCAUCUUCUUUAUGUUCAAGGUUCUCUUUUGAAUGUUCAAUGAUCUCUUCUUCUAUUGGUUCAAUCAUAAGAAGUCUCCCUUUCAUCGUUUGCGGGUUUGAGUAGCCAGCUAGUGUGUGUACUGUAACGUCGGUCGGUUGUGGCUCUUCUUCCGCAUCUUCUUCGUUAUGUUUAAGGCUCUCUUCUAGAUGUUCAAUGACCUUUGCUUCUAUUGGUUCAAUAAUAAGAAGUCUCCCUUUAUUACAGCGAUGCUCACGGCUCCACGGCUCGUCACAAUGCCAACAUAACCCCUUCGCAUAUCGCUCCCGAAGCUCUUCUCCUGUUAACCUCUUUGGUGCAGGGACUUGGUCGACAGUAGGGGGGGCUGAGGGCUUCAAUAUUAUUGGUUGAGGAGUGACCCUAGUCCUCCGGGCUUCAUGGUUCAAUUGCUCCUCUUGAUGUCGUGCGAAAGAGAUGGCUGACAUAAGCGUAUAUGGUUGUCACGCUUUAACUUCUCCUCGGAUCUCCGGCUUCAAGCCCUCAAUAAAGGUCCUCAAUAGCUGUUUUUGAGACCAAUCACGAGUUUGAUUAGAUAACCUUUCAAACCUGGUUUGGUACUCUUGAAUGGUGGAGAUUUGUCGGAUCUUUGUUAGUUGUCCGUCAAUAUUCUCGUAAUCGGUUGGUCUGAAGCGAAUCAGCAGUUCUUCUUUGAAUUGUCGCCAUGAAAGGACUCCAUAAGUAUGUUCAAACCAGUCAAACCAUUGUAUAGCAUUCCCUUCAAGAUGUAUAGCUGCAAUUUUUACCAUAGAUACAUCCGCGGUUUUGUGGUACCGAAAAUAUCGCUCCGCGCGCGAGAUCCAACCAAUCGGGUCUCCUUCUUCUCAUCUAGGGAAGUCCACUCUCAUGCAUGGAUAGUUGGGGUCGGUCAUAUAGCCUCCCCUCCCUUGGAAGUCAUCUCUUCGGGCUUGGUGUGAUUGGGCAAAGCUCUCUCCUUGAUAUGAUUUCUUCGGGCUUAGUGGUCGGCCCAAUCUGAGUUCGGUAAAGAGCGUCCGAAUCUUAUCCUCCAUUCGCGCCUCCAAGGCUUCAAAUUUAGCAUUGAUUGCCUCCUUAGAUGCCAUAGUAUAUGCCCCCAAAUCUAUGAUGUUAAUAUCUCUCUUUUGUUGUUGGGUUAAAGGCAUGUAUAGGUUAAGAGAAGUGAUGGUUGAAAGGGUUGGUGGAUUGGUGGAUGUAGGCUGCGGUUUAGGCCUGUUUUGUGGUUGUUUUGGGUGCAGUUUGAGGGUGUGGUUUGGCAGAGUUUUAGGGUUGUGGAUGAAAGUUUUGGAUCUGUGGUAGAUGGUAGUAAAGGUUUGACAUAAAUCCGUGGAAGUUGCAGCAAGUAUGUGCUGUCUUGUAAGAGUAGAAUUAUCGUCGAAGAAACAACGAUUUCUCGACGUAAUUUUCACCAAAAACUUGAGAGAAUUGAGGAGGGAAUUGAUAGAAAAAUCACAGUUUAUAUGACAGCAAGGAUGUCUAAUUUAAUCAAGAAAAUUUCGGCAGUAUAACAGCAAGGAAAUUGGUGCAAGUUGAGAUUGCAGAAUUCUCGUCGAAAAAUUUCAGCGGUAUACGACGAAAAUUUGCAGCAACACAAAAUCGUUUUUAGAGAUGAAUUUCUCAAUAGAACAAUCUUAGAUGGAAGCCAAGAUGAUCUAUGAAGUGUAUAAGAAAUUUCAUUCAAAAAAAUUGCAAAUAGAUGGGCUAAGGCAAUAAUAUGCGGCUGAAAUUUUCUGUAGCAUAGAUUUUCAAGUGCAGCAAUAUGCGGCUGAUUGGACAUAAAAGAUCAGUAGUUUAUAUUGAGAAUUUUUCGAUGAAAUCAAAGGGAAAUCCAUGGUUAGGAAGUGCCAAAGAUGUCAAAAAAAUUUCGUAGAAAUUUGGAUAGAAAGAGUACAGUAGCAAAAUCAAAGAGAUGAUGCUAUGCGGCUGGAAUUCUGCAAUGUAUCUUUCGUCGUAGAGAUAAAAAGUUUAUACAGCAAUAUAGGAACAAAUUUUUUUUUUAUUUAAGAUUUUUGAAUAAGGAUAACUAAAUUACAGCAGUAGUAAGGUAGGAAACCGGAACCUGUUGCAAUUCACGGGGAGAUCAAAGGAUGAUCCGCGGUGGUGGAGAUGAUGCCGGAAUUCGAUGACGAUCUUUUAAGCAAUUGUGGAAAUUGCUUUGGAUGGUUGUGGAGGGUUGAUGGAUGGCUGUGGAAGGGCAGCGAGACGCCAAGAACGCUGCUCUGAUACCAGGUGUUAGAACCCUUGCAGAUUCUAAACUUGGGGUUGAUCUCUUUAGGGGAUCGGCCUCCUUGGAACUCUAUAGGGGUUCCUCCCUCCAAGUUGCUUCUCAAAGGCUGCAGAAAAGAUUCAUCUAUUGCUUAUGAAAAGAGGAGGAAUACAUGACUAUUUAUAGGGCUUCUAAACCUUAACUCCUAAUAUGACUCCUACUCAAGACUCCUACUUCUAACCAACUCCUAAUAGGACUCAUACUUAAGACUCAUAUUCAUUUACAACUCCUAAUUCUUAAGACUCCUAUUCCUUUACAACUCCUAAUUCUUCUUUAAGAAACAACCUCCUAACCCUAGCCGGCCUCUUUACCUCUUAAAUAGGGGUCGACUUAGGUAGGUUUUACAUGAAUGUCCCUCUCAAUUAGGACUCUCCUAGCUAGAGUCCUAACAUAUACCUUCUUCUCUGAAUGUGAUAUACUUUUUGGCACUUCCCUGUGUGGCAUUGGGAAAAAGGAACCAAGAAAAGAUGCCCUUGUCUUGAGAAUAAGGGCUGUAGUUCCAUAACAUUCUGUUGCAAGUGCACAACCUCCAAUGCUGUGCUUCCAAUCUUGAGAUUCAAGCACAAGUUUGCAGCUGUCUCAUAUUUCUAUUAGCCCUCAGAAAAUUGUGUGGGAGUUCUUUUUCCCAUCUGCAUGAACUAACACCUAGAUGUCAGUUUUCUGUUGUUUUCUUCAACAUGACUUGGUCGAUCUCAGCAUUCUGCACCCACUGUUGUAUGUUCAGGCUCAGGUGACUUAAAUAACUCUUUUGCAAGCUUUUACAAAUCUAGGACUUGAACUUUCUUUUACAUCUCAUGCAUGACAGUGUCACUUCCCUCAGCUUAUUAAUUUCAUACAGCUUCCUCUUAAGUAUUUACCUGCGGCCAAAAUCAGUUUUCUUGAAGUUUAAAUUGACCUAAAACAGUUACUGCUUUUGGUGCAGCUGAAAACAUGAGUAAAGAUCCAUUGCAGAGUAUGAAGCAGGAUGGUGAGCAAAACUCUGUUUAUAACUUUCUCUAUCCCAGCAAAGAGCUUCUUCCAGAUGAUAAAGAAAUGAGCAUAUUUGACCAUUUAGAAGAGCUUCGCGAGAGAAUUUUUGUCUCAGUUUUGGCUUUGGGAGCUGCUAUGUUAGGCUGCUUUGUUUUUUCUAAGGAUUUGAUCAUAUUCCUUGAAGAGCCUGUUAGUUCACAAGGAGUUCGCUUUCUGCAGUUAUCACCUGGAGAAUUUUUCUUUACCACUCUAAAGGUAAAGUGUUUUCUCCAUGGCUUCAGGUUCCGUAACUAAUUUUUUGGAUGCUUACAACUGAAAUGAUUGCUGUUUAGCUACAUGUGCCAGUCUUUUCAAAGUUGAUGCUAUAGAUAUUCUGUGCAUUAUGACCACAUGAAUUUUGCUUCUUGUUCCUUACAAAAGCUCAUUGUCCUUUGACACAUCUAGUAAGCAUUCUUAUGUUCAGAAGCCUAUUCUUCUCAGCAAUCACUAUUAAUAUUUAGUGACCUUAGCUGAAUAUCAUUGACUUAUAAACAUAUCCAUUUUACUCUUAUUCUGUGUUCUUUUGAUGGUGGGGAAUGGUUUGUUGAGUCUUUGGGAAAAGAAUAGUGCAUCUGUAGCUUAACACUUCUAUUCUGUGAUUUGCCUUCUCACUUCUUAGAUGUUCUGUACAACUUUUAGCUAGCUUUCUUUUUGUUUCUUGUUUGAUAUCAGUCAAGUUGAUAGAUGUGAUUGUGCCAGCUUAAACAGUAUGUUUUUGUCACACAGGUAUCUGGUUACUGUGGUCUUCUUCUGGGGAGUCCUGUCAUUCUUUAUGAGAUCAUAGCUUUUGUUCUUCCUGGUCUAACAAAGGAUGAGAGGAAGUUCCUAGGACCCAUUGUCUUGGGUUCCUCUGUCCUUUUCUAUGCUGGCAUUGCAUUCUCCUAUGCUGUUCUAACUCCUGCAGCCUUGAAUUUCUUCGUGAACUAUGCGGAAGGUGCCGUGGAGUCGUUGUGGUCCAUCGAUCAAUACUUUGAGUUUGUUCUCGUUCUUAUGUUCAGCACAGGACUGUCUUUUCAGGUAAUGUUUCAUGAUCCUGUAAAGUUAUGUUUUCCAUGUUAGCUGCUGCAGACUAUUAGCUUCAAACACACUUUUAAUUCCAUCAUGUUUUCUGCGUGUACUACUGCAAAAAUGCAUGGCAUACUUGAACAAUCUUGCUUUUGCAGGUUCCUGUUAUCCAGCUUCUACUAGGGCAGGUUGGUCUGGUGUCCGGGGACCAAAUGUUAUCGAUCUGGAGAUACGUCGUGGUUGGUGCCGUUAUUGCCGCUGCCAUUCUUACCCCAUCUACCGAUCCCCUGACGCAAAUGCUACUGGCAGGGCCUCUGCUGGGUCUCUACUUGGGUGGUGCAUGGAUGGUCAAAUUAAUAGGUCGUUAAUCCAAUCAUCUUGUGCAUGUUUUAUCUUCACCAGGGAAAUUAUGUGUAUCAAAAUAUGAGGCACAUCUCCUUUACAUAUGACAUUACUGUUUACAUUCAGUGUAUAUUUCUUGUAGGCCAUUUAGAUCUUUCCAAUCGCAGUCUUUUUAAGUGUUUGUUAACUGAUCAUAUCCAAACUUCGACAAUAGCUUAUCUUGUUAUUGUAACAAUUCAGGACUAGUAUGCAGUAUGAUUUGGUAUUACAAGGAUUAAUACACAAGAAAAAGCUCAUGUAAUGACAAUCCAUUUUGUUCUAUUUAAUAUGUAGUUUAAUCGACUUUGGUGUCCUAAUUAUUGAGUUUAUGCUGUAUUUUGGAGUUGGCAUCAUCUAUAUAUAUAUAUAUAUAUAUAUAUAUAUAUAUAUAUAUAUAUAUAUAUNNNNNNNNNNNNNNNNNNNNAUAUAUAUAUAUAUAUAUAUAUAUAUAUAUAUAUAUUUGUGUCAAGUUUUGUUUCUUGAAAUCUUUGCUUUCCUUCGAACAUUUUUUUUUCCAGUGAUCGGUGUUGCUAAUGAUCUAUUUAUGCUACUGAAAAAGUUACAUGUGGAUUACAUUUAGCAUGUAUAUGUAUUUUUUUGUUUGUUGUUUUCUCAAUAACAUUUUUAGGAUGAUAACCAAGAGCUAUAAUUCCAUGCACCCCAAAUAUACAGGACAGUACAACUUGCCAUGAUAUCUAAAAAUGUUAGGAUGGAGAAUAAAUAUGACCAACUAGGAUUUUUGGAUGGAGAAUAAAUAUAAUCAACUAGUCAAAUAAAUAUAUCUGUUUAGUCAAUCAGCGUGUUUCACAGAAUGGUCAGUACAACAGAAUUGGUAGAAUUAGCUAUUCCAUUUAUGUUGUUGUUACUUGUCCAGUUAGCGACAAAAGAAUAAUUUUUACUAUUUUUUUCUCUCAAUCCAAACAAGAACAUAAAGAGCAGCUACCUCGCCGAUCAAGAGUUUCGGAGGAGAUCUUUAGCCCAUUACUUGCAAAUCUCUCUAGGUUUCUAGUUGGGAUGGUCUAGUUUGUUUAAGUUCUAUGUAUUAAAUUCCUUUGUGCCAUGGUACAAGUUUCUGUCACAGAUGAUUAUUCUGUAUAAUGAUUUUGCAGGGUGUUCUGGAUGGGAAAUACGAUGACUUACCCGAACAGUCGUUUUACAUGGUUGGAGGUAUCGAGGAAGUCAUCGCCAAGGCCGAGAAGAUUGCAAAGGAGUCAGCGUCAUGAUAGAAAUUUCUCUCCUCAUUCAGAAACUGGAGCGAUAUAGCCUAUGGGACCACCUGCGAUGAAGAAAAAUUGCAUUUCCGUAGACAGCUUUUUCUUUGUUUUAAUGCUGGCCGGAUUUUUUAUCUUCUUCUGAGAGAGCCAAAAAUGAACUCUCAGAUCUUCUUGGCACGAUGAUAAGUAUAUGCAGCGACUCGUUUCUUUCUUGCAUGAGACAUUUGCACUCCAAACUGUAUCCAAAUGUGUAUUUUGUACCAGUCACUGAACCAUGUAGUUUGUUUCUCUAGUGGUUCUUACCUUCUGGUUUAAUAUGUUUCUUUUACCAGUUGCAUAAUUUUCUUGAUUAAUGAAUUACAUGGAGUGAAUUAAUAUUUCUUUAGAACUCCCUUUCUUGCGAUUCACUGCAUCUUAAUAAUUAGGACAUCUCAUAGGUCAAUUUUAUCUCUCUAGUUUGCACAUUUUGAUGUUUUGAGUUGUUCGAGUUGGCUUUAGCUUGAAUUUUAUUUAGUUGCAGUCCAUAGAUUCGACGAAAGGAAUUUUAAUUUCUUUUACGGAAAUCACCUUAGAAUUAUUAUAAACUCCAAAAAAGUCUUUCCGAUAAUUUGACAUUUCGUUGACCGUGGACUUCGGCCGCAAACGUUGGGUGGCCAUGUCACCCAUCAAACCUCUGUGGGGUGAUUCAUCCUUUCUGAACGGUGGAUGGUGAGAAGCCAGAUCACCCCCUAAACUUUUCUAGGGUGAUUCAUCCUUUCUCAAUGGUGGAAUGAAUCAUGUAUUUUAUGGAUCUAUAAAUGUUGGCCACGUCAACCAUGUCGACUUGAUCGUUUUGACCGUUCUACGUAGCAACGUAACCCAAAUGAGGCAUAACCGCGUGCAAGAGGCCCAUCACUGAUUCGCGGCCUUCACUGGGCCCAUUAAGCUCAUCACGAUGGUUCAUCCGAAUGCGUCUCAACCCUGAUGCAAGCGAUCGCCGCAACCGCCUACAGAAACCUACGCCGAGGGUAAACCGCGUUAAUAGCAAACCAACAGGGCGGAUGGCAUACGCUGACGUGCCCUAAUCCUUCAGGGAAAGGGCUUCGGUACCCCCCCCCUCCUAUAAAUCUGCCCAAUCCUCGCCUCUCUUACCGUCCAUUCCUCCGAGCUCAGAUCGUCGAUCUGGCCGUCGAUCGCAUCCGAGGUGAGAUGAGUCCCUUCUCUGCUCCGUCUAUCGCCCUGUUUUGCUUCUUUCCUUCUUGUCGGCUUCGACGUUCGAUCUUGAGUUGGAAAUAUCUGAUUCAGCUGGAUCCGAUUGUCCUCUGUGUUCCUCUUGUUGCCUAUUUAUUUGUUGUUUUUUUGUUAUGGGUGAGAUUGGAUGAUCUAAUGAUUGAUCGACCGUGUCGAUUAUUGUGAUAGUCUGUUUUUCGAGUUUCUUGAAUCUUGAUGUGUUUGGAUUGUUUUGAUUUUGCGUUGUUUACAUGGAAAGAGAUAUAACUGAGAUUUCGAUUCAUGGCUGGAUUAGAGCUGGGUUCUUUCUUUUAUGGUUGUUAUGGUUAUUUGAUGUUGAUAUAUAUGGGAGAUGGAAACUGAUGUAUGGUUGGAUCGACAUAUUGCCAUUGUUUAAUAUUUAAUGCGUAUAUGAUUCAGUAUAGUGAAGUUUAUGUUUCUAGAUUAUAAAUCUCUUAGGCCUGGCUAAUCUUUGGUUAUGUUUGAAUGUGUAUAAUAUGACGUGUCCUGUCAAUAUCUGUGGUAACAGGUGCUUUGAACGAGGGCGGGAUUUGACAAAUUUAUUCCUUUGAUAGCUGCUAAAUUCAUUGGUCUAAUUUCAGUAGCUCAACUUGAUGCGUUGGAUAUAUUUUGGUUUGUGAUUCCACAUGAUUAUGUUUUGGUCUGCGAUUGCUUCAUUGUCAUAGAAUUUCCAAUGUUUGUCCCUUUUUUUCUGUAACUGUACUAAUCAAACUCUAGAAAGUGGUAAUAAAACUCAAAUGGGCACACUUCUUGUCUAUAUCUAUAGUUGGUGAUAAGCAAAAAGUUAUUUCGUUCAGGCAACAAGGUUCUUUAGGUUGUUUGUAUUAUGAAAGAUGUUUUAUCACAAUGAAUCUGAUGUGUAAACUGCUUUAUCAUUCAUGGAGGAUGGCUAAUGAUUUCCAUGAGCUAAUGCUGGAGAGAUGUAGUAAGUAGACAUCAAUUAUCAACAAGCGCUUGGAUUUUGUAGCCUCAUCUGCUCUAGAAGAUUAAAGAUGAAGGUUAAUGGUGGAGUCGCAAAAGCAGUUAACUGGAGUCGUAGGUCUCUAAAAUAGUGGUAAACAUCAUGAGCCGUGUUUCUCAGGUAACUGAUUGGCAUGAUCUGUUUUGAGCUACCUCAAAUUCAAACUGUGGAAGGACUUCUCAUUCUAGACCUACCAUUCACCUAUCUCCUGUACUGCAUUGGCCUAUAGCCGAGCACCAUAGUGUUAAACUGGAGUUUUCUAUAUUAACUGACAGCAAAUUCUAUUCCAGGAAGUUUUGAUUAUGGUUGUGGCAUAUAUGCACUGGAUAUUAUUUUACCUAGUUUGAAAGUUUGUCGCUGAAUAUCUUCUAAGUUCAGUGUACAUGAUUUUGGAAGUUCAUUACAGACGGUGGAUAUUUUUCAUUGGAUAUAUGAUUUCAGACUUUCCAUUGUUUAAACAAAGCAGAUGGGGGUAAGUAGGAUAUGGCAAUUUACAUGGGUACACUGGAUAAUUUUCAUUAGUUAUAUGAUUACAGACUUGUCCUUUCCCUCUUCUUGUGUUGCAGGCAUUCAUUUUGUUCUAUUUGCAUCUGAAUUUAAUUACCAAUGUGGCUGACCUUGCUUUCUUUGUUAGGUUUUCAUGUUUUCCAUUUGCUUUGUGGAUGAAUUUUUUCAACAAAAGAUGUUAUAUCAUUUCAAAUGCCAAUGGCUUCUCCAGUAAUCAGGCAAUCGACAGAAUUACACAUCUGCGGUCAAAUUUGUUAGAUGUUGGGCCAUGAUGUAUUUAAUGGGAUCACAAAGUUCUAGAAGGAAUUGUGCAGCUAAUAACCCAAUUAUACUGUUAAUGAGAUUUUACCUACUUUGGCACUUUGUGAAUACAAUCAAGCUGUUUUCAGCUAGGCAUGACACACUCACUCAAAAACUAGAACCAAAUGAACAUUGUAGUAUUCUUGGUCUCAUAUUUUGGAUUCUGUUCGACUCUGUUUUGCUUAUAAAUUGGUGCACUGCAUAUGACACAUUUACAUUUUGUUUGUUAGAUCUGUUAAGUGUUUCCUUUUUUUCUCACUGAAUGAUAGUUGGUCAACAAUGAUUUAGGAAGUCAAAAGCCAUAACUAAUACCAUUGCACAUUGCCAAAGUCGAGGGGGUGAACAUUGAAGCUUCUUUUAUGUCUGAGCAAGUCUCUCUCUUUUUGGUAUUAAUCGGAUUGCUUGGAGAAUAUUCUCCGACCGCUAGAAGGGAAAGGCUCUUUUGGGGGAGUUUUAGCUGCAUGCAUUACAGGUCACAUCAGCAUUCCGCACCACUUUUGGGUUGCUACUGCACGCAACCUCUUCUGAUCACGGGGGACUUUGCUGGUGUUUGUAAAGGAAAGGACAGCAUUGCCACUAUCAGUUCUUGCUACCUUUGACAGACCUUAUUUGUCUUACCAAAGAAUCAGCUUAGUGAAUAUGGCUUUGCAGAAUAUUGGUGCUUCAAACAGCGAUGAUGCCUUUUAUAGGUACAAGAUGCCUAAGAUGAUAACAAAAAUUGAAGGUCGUGGCAAUGGCAUCAAGACUAACAUUGUGAACAUGGUUGAUAUUGCUAAAGCACUGGCUAGGCCUGCUUCUUAUACAACAAAAUAUUUUGGAUGUGAGUUGGGGGCACAGUCUAAAUUUGAUGAUAAGACAGGGGUUUCUUUGGUUAAUGGGGCCCAUGAUACUGCUAAGCUUGCUGGUCUGCUUGAGAAUUUUAUUAAGAAGUAUGUGCAAUGCUAUGGUUGUGGCAACCCUGAGACAGAGAUUAUUAUCACCAAGACCCAGAUGUUAACCCUAAAAUGUGCAGCCUGUGGAUUUGUGUCUGACGUUGAUAUGAGGGACAAGCUGACCACCUUUAUUCUGAAGAACCCACCUGAGCAGAAGAAGGGAGCAAAGGAGAAGAAGGGAAUGAGGAGGGCUGAAAAGGAGAGGAUGAAAGAAGGCGACACUGCUGAUGAGGAACAGAAGAAGCUGAAGAAGGAAGCAAAGAAGAAAGGAGUCACCUCUACCAAGGAAGUAACCUCUUCAAAGGCUACCGCUGCUAAGAAGAAAGCUGGAGGUGGCUCUGAUGAGGAUUGUUCAGCUUCCCCUCUUGGCAGUCGAAAUGUUGCUGCCAAUGCUGCUGCUGAUGAUGACGAUGUCCAGUGGCAGACAGAUACCUCAUUGGAGGCAGCUCAACAGCGUAUCCAGGAACAGCUGAGUUCUGUGACAGCUGAGAUGGUAAUGCUCUCAACCAGUGAGUCCAUCCCAGAGAAGAAAACAGAAAAAGUAAACAAGGGAGUUACCAAUGGCAGUGUGAAACACGAGGAGAAAAAUGGUGCAGGCCAAAAUGCUGUCCUACCCAACAGUUAUGACACAUUGCUAGGGAAGAUCAGAAACAAUUUGAACAAGGGAUCUACCCCCAGCCAGCUCCAGACUUUUCUGGGUUCUCUGACUGCAUCUCGUCCGGAGGUUAUGGCUGCUCUCUUUGAAGCUCUCUUUGAGGGAGUGGGGAAAGGGUUUUCCAAGGAGGUUGGGAAGAAAAAGAAGUACAUUGCUGCUGCUGUCCAUGGUGAAGACUCCCAGGUGCUUCUGCUCCAUGCUAUCGAAGCCUAUUGUGGCAAGUGUAGCCCAGAAGCUGUGAAAGAAGUUGCCCUUGUUGUGAAAGUACUUUACGAUGAUGACAUCCUGGAAGAAGAGACCAUAAUUAAGUGGUAUGAAGAAGGUACUGCAGGUGGCAAGAACUCUCAGGUAUUCAAAAAUGUGAAGCCCUUUGUGGAGUGGCUUCAGAGUGCAGAGUCUGAAUCCGAUGAAGAGUGACAACAUGCAUUUUUCAUUUGCGUUUGCUGUGGCUGUCAUCAUAGCAAGUCAUAUAAGUCUGAAUGUUUCAGAGUCGUAUGUGAAGGGCUCAUCUACCAAGCCCUCGUCGGUUUGAGUUGGUCUGUGUGAUGGUCAUAUCGUCGCUGUGCAAUAAGCUUGAUUGGUGUCCAAGCAGCGGAAAACAACUUUGUUGUAAUAAGUUUGGUUCAGUCAUUUGGAUUCUUUUAUCGUUGAAUGUGCUCAUGCUGGUUUUUCACUUUUUAAUUCUUCAAUUACAACUCUAUUUUAUGCAAAAUUUGACCUUAUUUGUUGAAAUAAGUUUGGUUCAGUCCUUUGGAUUCAUUCUUUUAUCCUUGAAUGUGCUCAUGCUUUUUAGUUCUUAUUUUAUCCCAUUUUCCUUCCUUACUCUUUAUAUAUAUAUAAACAAAAAAUAUGUAAAAUUUAUCCUUAUUAGUUGGAAUUACCUUUUUUAGAAUUGAAUUUUAGUAUUUUUUUAUUUAUCUUAUCCUAUUUUCAUUACUAACUGUUUUUUUUUAAAAAAAAAAAUUAUUUUAUGCAAAAUUUGUCCUUAUUAGUUGGAAUUACUUUAUUAGAAGUGUGAGAAGUUUGAAACUAUGUUAGGAAAGAUGCAGGUGGGUUGAUAAGGUUGCUGCCUUCUCGUGUGGCUUUUGCUAUAUGCUGUUGUUGUAGUAGAUUCCAAGGUGUUAUUUAUAUAUGUGCUCCUUAACUCAUGAAUGCAGAUUCUGCCUUUUCAACAGUCCCUAGUUAUUUUUAUACUGAUCAAAGGAAGGAUUAUCCCUACCAAAGUUUCAUAUAAUGAAAUCAUCUAAUCUUAUUAUGUUUUUCUGGUGAACUGUGCACAUCUAUCCGUUCUAUAUUGGUUACCACUGAAAGCAUGGUUCUACCCAGCCAUGAAUGAUAGAUACAUCAUCAUCACCACUUACUAGUAGCAUUCUAAUCACUAUAUAUUUUCUAGCUACCAACAACGACCACAACCGCUCACCCAACUUUUUUUUUCUUUCCGUCUUGGUUGUGCUUCAAUCAUUCACCAGCACUUGCAUGCACACAUCUAAACUUUCCUUUACUUCGACUCCAUCAUAAGCUUGAUCAUAGUGUCCGACAAGUCCCUCUCGAUCAAGUAGAUGAUUGCCUAUAAAUCUUUUUUUUUUUUACAAUCAAUUUAAUUACAAAAUUUCCAAUUGACUACAGACAACCAACUACUAGUGGAUUUUUAUGUUCUAUACUACGUUGCGAGUCGAAAUUAUAUUUAGAUUUUGUUAGACAUCAGUCGGUUUAGAAUUAUGAGCUAUGAAGUUUCCAUCUCCUCCAUUUUUUUCCUUAUUACCACUUGCUUUUGUGUGCGACUCGAUUUUAUUUAUUGCACUUGCAAAAUUGAUCUGAUUGCUAUCUUUAAGAUUCGCAUCACAAUCUUAAUAAACGGUAAGAGUUUUUUUCAUUCUUUAUACAUGUCUGUAUGUAUAUAUGGACAAAGCUAAGCAUUAUUCUGGUCAUUUACCACAUGUACAGCCCAAUCGCGUCGGUCCAAAAAGAAUUCUCGGUAUCGGCUUCUAAACAUCCCCCCUUCACCCCGUGAAGACUUCCCCAUUUGAGAUCGAACGGAAGAACUAUUAAACCCGCCCCCCUCUCUCUCUCUCUCUCUCGCGAGGAGAUCCUUCAUGGAAUCUCCUUUUCCUGUACUUUCCACCCCGUUUGUUCAUUAAGAGGGUGGAUCUCGGCGGUCUCCGUGUCGGUGAUUUCUCUUCUGCUCCUUCUUCGAUUCUUUUCUGGGUGUUCGAUGCCUCCUCCUGGGCGAAGGCUUUUCCUCGCCCUCGCCCUCGCCCUCGCCCUCCUCUUCCUCCUCGUCCCGGGCCUCGACGCCCUGCGAACUCUUGGCGACGGCAGCGGCGCCGAUGUCCCCGACGCCGCCGUGGAGCUCAACGCCUCCAACUUCGAUAGCGUCCUCAAGGAGUCCCCGCUCAAGUUCGCCGUCGUCGAGUUCUUCGCCAGCUGGUACGGACUUCGCUCUAGUUUCCUAUCGGAAAGUUGACCUUUGUGCGAGGAUCGGGUUGACAAAGAUUUGUCGUUUCCGGUUUCUCUGCGAGUUGCGUGCUGGGGAUUCUUGAUCGGUGUGGUUAUUGGAUGAGAGAGGGCUCACUUAAAUCUCUACCCCCUUUGGUGGAUUUCUACUCUUGUUGUCUGGAUCAUAGGAAUUUUGGUUUGUUGAGCAGCUCCAAAUCGAAUAAUACUGGAAAAGAAUGAAACUUUGUCAUAGAUCAUGAUGCGAUUGUCACAACUAAGUCGAUGAAGAUGAUGAAAUUUCAGGCGAGUUAUUGGUUUGCUCCGAAACGAGGGGACAGGUUGGCAGGUGUUGUCUAUAGAGGCUUAUGAUAAGGUCAAUAGGAUGGUUUCCUAUGGUUGUUCGUGAAGUGGAUAUUAACGUUUUGGACACUUAUAAGGGUCAUGCUAACAUAGAUGUAAGGCCUUUUGCGUUUGCCAGUAGCUAAAAGAUCAUAUUGUGAGAAGCACCUUUCAUUAUAAAGGUUUGCUACUUGGAACUUUAUCAUUUUGGUUUCUCUAGAAUUUCCUUUUCUUAAGUAAACACUGAUCAAGCGAACAAAAGCUACGCAAACAUGUGCCCUUGCCAUCUUUAGAUAGCCACUUCUCUUCCCUCCCUCCUACCCAACCCACCUAAAAGGGAUGAAAUUAAGAAAUAACGAGAGCACAAAGUGAAACACACUUAUACGUCCAUUUUUUUGGUAGGUCAUCUCGAGUUUUCAAAUAUCGGUUAGACUGUUAUGUGCAAACGGGUACUUAAUAUUCUAAUCAAGGACUGAUAUCCAACCAUAUAGCUUGAAAAUGCUUAAUAUUCAUUUUAUAUUAUUUUAUUCGGCGAUACCAGCUGUUAUAGGUCAGUCAGUAUGUUUCUGUUUGUAGAAGCAUAUGCAACUAAAGAAAAACAAGUCUUUCAAUAAAAAAAAUGUUGAUCCUGGUUUGUCUCUAGCCCAGUGAUCUUUAAACUCUCAAGAAAUUGGGAACUGAUCCCAGUCAGUUGAUUCCCAACUGUCUUUCUCCAGUCGGAUCUGAAUCCGAUCAGAUAAGCAUUAAACUCUCACCGCAGGUGUUUGUGAUUAUCUUAUGUGAGAAUGCUGUUUCUAGUUGAGGCACUUGUCCAUAUUUCUUUAUUCUUCUCUCUAAAUUUCUUUUAAUCUCUUUUUCUACCUCCACUUCUGGUUAUUUUAUACUUUGGGACUCUGUCUAACUAGAGUUCAUCAACAUAAUUCUAUCUAAUUAGCUCCAUCUGAGUUGGUGUGGCCCAACUAAAUUGGUGAUAUCUGGAAAACAAGGGCACAUCAAAUAAAUUUGAUAAGAGCAAGCUACUCUAUUUGAAAGCCUCCUUCCCAAAUUCCAAAAGAAUACAUAUUUUCUUGAACAGCUCGGUUGGCACUUUGCAGAUGGAAUAACAAGAUUUUGACAACUUGAAGAAAUAUUCCAAGACUAGUUAACUUCUUAUUCUAUGAUGCCUCUGACUCUGUCAGAUUAUUGGAAUGCUGUAGUGUACCCAGAGGUUGUAUGUUUUAGGUUUGGCUUUUGCUUAAGAUAUAGAGCAGUAAAAAAUUGUUCCCUUGUUGCUUAACAAAGUAGUGUUUCAGACAAUCACUUGAUCAAAAUGAAUGCUUUCAGAUAAACAUCUGGGGUCUAUGUGACCUUGGCACAAAAGAUCAAUCUAUUUCUUACAGAUUGCAUGGUUGUUCUAUUUGAUAGGCAACUCAUUGUUGCAAUAUAAUAUGGUCAUACGAUUUCAUAAAAGAAUGUGAUAUAGUCAGAGUUAAUGAUUCUCUUUUGUCGGUCAUUACCUUUGAUUCUAGUGGUAAAGGGAGGAAACAAUGUCCUUUACUCUGGAACCUUGAGUGGAUCUUCUAGGAAUUAUCAUAGGGUAACGAAAAGGAAACUGUAAUUUUAACUUGAUAUUUAUUACCACAGUCUCCUGUUGGAUUUGAUAUUUGAUGGGAUAUGAAUGAAAUUUAGUUUUCUGAUACCAUAAUUUGUUGCUUUCUAAAAUGCAUUUUGUCAUUGGUGCUGGAAAAGUAUAUUGCAUUUAUUGAUUCUGAAAUUUGCUUGCAAGGUUCGAGGAUUUUAUUAAUUCAAUUGGUUCAACACACAUUAGAAGGGAUGUUUACCUUAAAUCAUCAUUUUUACCAAUUUAAAUUUCCAAAUUGUAUUUUGUGUUGCCUUUUUCCGUUAUUAUUUCUUUUUGAUAUGUUUCAUCUUAAAUCUUUUAUUUUGCAGGUGUCCUGCUUGUAGAAACUAUAAGGUAUAUGUGCAUGUUAUUAGGAUUGAUUAUAUUUUAAGUUUUUACUUAUGAAUUUGACAUUGGUUGAGUAACAAUCACAUAGCCUCAAUAUGAGAAAGUUGCCAAGCUUUUCAAUGGGCCAAAUGCAGUGCAUCCUGGGAUUAUACUCAUGGCACGGGUUGAUUGUGCAAUGAAGGUAUGGUUUCUCUGAUUCAAACAUAGUAUUUUUUAUAUGUCAAUUAUCAAGAAGAUAUUUCUUGCUAAUAUCUUGGGUAGAUAUAUACUGCUUGUUCGUUUUUCAUGUAUAUAUUUUCUGCCUAUGAGAGAAAUGGGAAUUAAGUAGAAAUCUUAGAAUAAAUUGUGGAAUUUGGUAUAAUCUAUGGUACUGAGCUUGAUAGACGAGGGGUCCUCUGCACCUUCCUGGGUCCUAUUUUUGUCCAGCUAUGUGAUGAUAUACAUUUGAUCCCGCAGAUCUGAACCUUGUGGACUAGUUGAGGGCAGGAACAACAUUUUUCUAUCUCAAUUAGAUCUGACUGAGUAGAAAGUUGACUGGGAUGGACGAUUUCUGGUGCUGACAUGGUUGCCAAGAUUUAUAUUUAAUCACAUGAAACUAUAAAAUUCUGUGGUUUAUCAGAGUGGUCUAUUUAAAAAUUUUGUUUCUUUUAGUGAACUUCACAAUAUUGAUAAGUGCAAAUUAUUGGUCUAGUUUUGCAUCUUCUUUUCUAAUUGGUUUAUGUAAUAUUUGAUCCAUAUACUUAGUAGUUAGUACCACAAAAUUAAUGAGUAAUACUGUCAUUUUCUUUGGCAGUGCAGACAAAUGCAGAUCUUUGUGGUAAAUUUUCUGUUGGACAUUAUCCUAUGCUAUUCUGGGGCCCUCCACAUAAAUUUGCAUUUGGUCGAUGGGACCCUAAGGAAGACAAGGAUGAGAUACAACUGGUUGAUGAGUGGAGGACAGCAGAUCACCUGCUCAGUUAUAUAAACAAGAGAAUUGGCAGGCAAGUUGUACUUAUCAGUUCCUAUUGUAUAAUUUGUGGUUUUUUUUUGCUUCAUGUUCUGACAAAAUGGCAGCAGCACCUGUUUAAUUUAAUCGGAGGAAUUGUUCAUCUGAAAGUAAAACAACGGGGGAAAACCUCUCUCUUAUAUAGUAUUGCAAACUACAAGAGUGAUGUCAAUGUUCGAAAUAAUUAUUUUGUUAAUUUUCUUUAUAAAAGUUAUCAUGGUAAUUGCAUCCACCUUCAAUUUCUUUGUCAAUGAAUUGUUGUUAAAAUUGAACUAACUCACUAAAGGGUGAUCCAAAUGCACAAGGCUCCCACCGAUGUGGGUCCUAGCGAAGCAACUAAAAAGGGAUUUUUUUUAUAAAUAGUCAAUUCCCUAUCAUGAUUGAUGUUCAUCUAUAGUUUUGUUGUAUAUACCUUGCAUUCUAACCUUAAUAACUCUUUAGGCAGCAUAAAAUUUGAGACAAGAUGUUUAUACUUUGUGUUGUUAUUUUCUCCAUAUGUUUGUACUAGAGAUGAGAGCUCCUAGGGGCCACACAUAGGGCUCUACUCUCAUGUCAAACACACUUCAUACCACUGGGAAGAAGAAAACAUAUCUUUCAUUAAUUUCUUUAUAAACUAUAAUGUGAUAACUAACUACCCAUAAAAGUUAGCCUUUGAUAAUUAACUAUCCAUGAAAGUUAGCCUUCUGUAGACUUGCAAGGUUCUCUUUUGGCAAAAAUACAAUUUUAAUGUAAAUUCUGGAAGUCCCUAAGCCUACGUAAAGAGAGAUACAAACCUUAAAACUUACUUCGUAGUGACUUAAGGACUUCUCAAGCCAAUCUAUGACUAAAAUAGGAUCCAAAACGAGAAUGACAUGGCACAUGAUUCUGACUUCCUAUUUAUCAAUUUAAAAAGACAAACCUUCAUUUGAAUUUAGAAACUAUAUAUAUAUAUAUAUAUAUAUAUAUAUAUAUAUAUAUAUAUAUAUAUAUAUAUAUAUAUAUAUAUAUAUAUAUAUAUAUAUAUAUAUAUAUAUAUAUAUANNNNNNNNNNNNNNNNNNNNUAUAUAUAUAUAUAUAUAUAUAUAUAUAUAUAUAUAUAUAUAUAUAUAUGUAUGUAUGACCACUAACCAUUGAUUCAAACCUGACUCAUUCCAAGCUGAUCUCUGACUGAACUUGAACCAACAAAUUAAAUGCCUCUGCAUUAAUCAGCCAACCAUUGUCAUUUCGAAAAUCUUGUGUCACUUCUAGUUGGUAUUAUUUGUAGAGAAGACCAUAAAGAAAAAUUGUAUUGGAGCAUGCUAGAUCUUAGCUAUCAUUUUGUUGUCGCUAACUGCAAGUCUCUCUUGAAUGUGGUUUUGGAGAUGAUGGCCCAAUAGUUCUGUAUCGAUUGCCAAAAGAUGAUAAGAAUAUGCUUAGGUUUCACUUUGAAUACUUUCUUUAUUUUAGUUUCUUACCUAACUUGUUCAUGAGUUUUCUUUUUCACUUUAAUAUCUUGGACCUUAACUAACUACUCCUGAUCAAUGUCAUCUAUUGCUGCCUUGAGGUAAUUUGAAGUCACUGAAUCUUUCAUGCAUCGUAAGUCAUCAGAUACUACAUCUUUUUUACCUCUCUUUUGCAGCUCAUUCGGCUUAGAUGAUGAAAAAUAUGAAAAUGAGGAUACACUCCCAAGGAAUGCCUCUGAUCCGGAAGAAGUAUGCUCUUCUAGUCACUAUGAUUUAUUUAUAUCCAUCAUGUGUAAUUUUUAGUUGAGUUUUUCAUUUAGCAGUGAACUUUUAUGUGCUUUUGGAACUUUCCUUGUUAUUGAUUCUUCAUCUUCUAAGAUUGCUCGAGCAAUUUAUGACGUUGAGGAAGCAACAGCACAAGCAUUUGAAAUAAUCUUCCAGAACAAGGUUGAGUUCUUUUUCUCUGGAUGUAGUGCCUUUCUAUAUUUUACAUUCUCAAAAGAAUGAAUUUAUGUGAUGAUUGUACAAUUUCAGAUGAUCAAGUCAAAUACUCAAGUCCCACUUAUAAAAUUUCUUCAACUUUUGGUGGUUCAUCAUCCCUCAAAAAGGUCAAAGAUCAGGCUUUUUUUGUAUAUAGCUUAUAAGAUAGACUUUAGUACUUAUUCUGGAGUUAAUUAUUAGGUGUCGGAGGGGAAGUGCUGAAAUGCUAGUGAAUUUCGAUGAUUUGUGGCCUUCAGAUCCCAUAUCACUGAGUUCACAGGAGACUACCAUAUUGCAGCAAGUAGAUGCUUCCAAGUACUAUCAUAUCUGUGGCAAGGAAGUUCCUCAUGGGUACUGGGUAGGCAUUCUACUUUAUUACUCAUUUUGGAGCAUAGUAGUUGGUUCUUUUCGUUUAGAGAAAAUUAUUAAAUCCAAGUGAUUUAACCCAUGGAAUGUUCAUGUAUUUGCUUGGUUAACUAGCCUAACAUCAAUUUUUGGAAUAGUCUUAGAAUUGAAAUUGAUUUGUUUCAGUUAUGAUUCAGCUUACAAUAAUUUGUACAAGAUAAUGUGAUUUUUGUAUGUGCUUGAAACAAAAAGAAAAUACACCCUGACCUUUUUUUCUUUCUGCCUUCCCACCACCCACUUAACCCACCCACCAAAUAUAUAAACUUCUGUACUUGUAAAAGAACCUGCAUGUGAUUCUUUAUGUCUGAUGCAUAGAUUGACAAAUCAAAUGAUUAAAUGACAACCUAAUUCCUUAAGCUACUAAAAGGAGAAUUACAUCAUAAUUUACUUGGAGGGUUCACCUUUCAAGCAGCAAGUCAUGUAGUAUUUUAUAUUCCAAGUGAACUAUAUAUUUCUGUUCUGACCUUCAAAAUUGCAUAAAAUAGUUGAGCUAUCAAGUUCCUUGAAAGAUGUGGGAAAAUGAGAUCUGUCGAAAACUGGCCAUUGAUAAGCUAAGACUUGGUCUUGUGAAACUAUAACCUGCAUGUGAUCUUUUAUGGCUGAUGCAUAGAUUGACAAAUCAAAUCAUUAAUGAUAACCGAAUUCCUGUGUUAAUAAAUAUGGGACCAGCAUAAUUUACUGAAAGGUUCACCUUUGCAUAAUUCUUGAAUGCAUUGAUUGGUGAUGUUCUGUCCUGCACAUUGAACUAAUCUAUUCUAGUGACGGUAAUAAAAACAGGAUGAGAAAUGGACAGCUACUGUUCUUGUUUGUGAAGACAUAUCUAAAAGAUUUGCUAAAUUGUGUGUGACAUUAGAAAAUAUGAGUUAGUCAUAUGUAUAUUUAAAUAAGUAGCAACUUUUUAAUAUUAUCUAAUGUGUGGAAAUUUAUGUUGCAGAUAUUUUGCCGUGGGAGCAAGAAGGGUACCAGAGGUUUUAGGUAGUUUUCCAACCUUUGCAGAUACUGUUCUUUGGUAUUUUGAUUAUUGUUGCACAACAAAAUAAACUUAUUGGUAAAAUUUCAUGCCGUUUGCGGAAUCUGUAUAUUUCUUCAAAAAUUUCAUGCCGUUUGCGGAAUCUGUAUAUUUCUUCAAAAAAAUUCAUGCAUGAUGCAUCUCUGUCAUGAUGAUGACAAAUCCAUUCUAUGUGUAAGUGCAGAACAACUAAUUGUUAAUAUUUUAGAAGGUGGUUGCCAUUAUUUUCUUUUGCUGGGUCUUCUCGUGGGUAGUAAAGGACAUGGAGGUAAAUGAUCUGAGGAAGCAGGGUGAUGGAUUGUUUCCUUUCAUGGAUUUUCUGAUAUUUUUUAUACUUAUUCUUGGGUUUUCUACAUGUAUUGAUGCCAAAUAAUGCCUGCAGCCUUUGGAUAUUUCAACCUGUAUCUCAUGCCUAAUUUUAACAAUUUGUUAGAUACAGAAAAAAUUAUACCAGCCAACCAUGUAAUUGUUCCAUUCAAAAUCUAAUGUAGGCAACGGUCCUCAUCUCUAGUACACCUUUGAAUGUAAUUCAAUACAACUGCUUCCUUUGCAGUUUCUGAAAGAUUUAUACUGUUUUUUCCUUGUUUUAACAAAUAUAAUUUAAAAAACAUAGUUGAUAUUAGCUGAUUGAACUAUAAGAUGGUUGUAUGGAUCUCUGAAUAUAAUUCCAACUUUAUGAUCAUGAUGUGAGUUUUACUAGGAUCAUUAGCAUGCAGGAGUUUAUGCUGUGAAAAUCUUGGAUGUGGAAUUAUAUUGUAGGAACCUAUAUGAAUUUAGAACAUAUCAUGGUAAUUGAAUAAUUGUUUGUUCAACUUAGAGAAAUAUGAAGUCUUAGGAUAUAUUGAUUUGUUUCCUUCACUGAAUGGUGGCAUUUGAAUGUGCUUUCUGUCUCAGUUGUUAUAAGAAACAUGUUCAUCCAAACACAAAUCGGUUAGACUUUGGUGGUCAUGCUUAUUUGGUCUCAUUUUAAUAUCACCAUGCCCAGUACCAUUUUCAUCUGUUAUACCUCGCUGCCAUUAAUACCUUCUUGAUAGGUGGUAUUGACUAUUUUAUGCAUUUCUUGCAUGCAUCUUCUGAUGAUACAGUAUAUUUAAUAGAUCAUAUGGAAUGAGUUACUAUGGAGAACAAUAUAUGGUGACUGUAUAGCUUAUUGGAGUAACUGUGUUUGUUGCAGCUGUGGCCUCUGGGUUCUAUUUCACUCCCUAUCCGUUAGAGUUGGAGAUGGAGAGAGCAAUUUAGCCUUUAUAGCAAUAUGUGAAUUUAUUCAGAAUUUUUUCAUCUGUGAUGAAUGUCGCAAUCAUUUUCAUGAGAUAUCGUCAAGGUAUAAAAUAUGAUAUUUUUUUUAAUUCCAAGAAUUUUCAAUUUCUUAUCUAUGUGUAACUCACUUUUCAUUUGUGCUUGUAGUGUCUCAGUACCGUUUAACAAAACCCGUGACCUAGCAAUGUGGCUGUGGAGAACACAUAACAAGGUCAAUCAGAGAUUGAUGAAAGAAGAAAAAACUUUGGGUACUGGUGAUCCGAGAUUCCCGAAGAUCACUUGGCCUCCAAAGCAGCUCUGUCCAUCAUGCUAUAUUUCCUACAGCAGGGAAAGCAAUGGCACUGAGAACAUAGAAUGGGAUGAGGAUGAAGUGUUCCAGUUUUUGGUCAGAUAUUAUGGAAGAACGAUUGCUUCUUCCAAGGAAGCAACUCUCAGCAGCAGUGACGAUGCAGCUUCGACAUAUGACAUAGCUUCCUCAACCAAUGCAAUGACAGUUCCCGUCGGAGCUGCACUAGCCAUCGCGGUUGCUAGCUGUGCAUUCGGAGCACUAGCUUGCUUUUGGAGGACCCAACAGAAGAAUCGGAAGUACUUACACCAACUACACUCUCUAAAGAAAAUAUAAUUAGUAGGAGGGUAAUCGUUCACAUGUUUUUCUAUUAUUAGGCAAUACUAUGGUUUUGUUCAAGAAAGUGAUCUACUUUGUUACCCCUGCUAAUGUUUCAGGCACAGAAAAGGUUGGAACUGAAGGCAUCAAGAACAAGUCAACUAUCGCUUCUAUGAACUGAAGCAAAUAUGGAUUAUUGGCUUCAUGAAUGAUAUUCACCAGAAUUCGCCAUCAACUAAUUAUCUGAUUUUUGGUUGUCUGCCUGGAAAUGAGCUGUAUACUGUUUUACAAAUUCACACUACAAUUUUCAAAUAGUAUGUCAAACUUAUAUUUAUUAGCAUCAAAUGUCAGGUAGCUCUGCAUCUAGCAACAAUUAUUGAAAAGGUCAGCUGUGUGGAAAAAACUGGCAAGGGUUGGGGACCCUUAAUUUGUAAUUCAAAUCAAGUUUUCUUUGGGCAUUAGGGAUCAAGACAUUUGGUUAUCUUAUAAAGGGCAUAGUAGUAAAUGGCUUGGAGGUUGAUGCAGAGCUUUGAGAUGACACCAAUGAACAUUGAAGUUUGACUGAUGUCAUCCAUUGAAUUAGAGACUUCAAUUUUUCAAGUUUUAAUCUUCAGGUGAAUGGUGAAAGUUGAAACUAUGGGUGUAAAAUCUUAUACCAAUUCUUUGACUAUAUGACAUUCAUUCAGACUUCAAAAAAAAAAAAA